rnacentral:rRNA from 1 species
GUCUCCUUGAAUGUUAUUUUAUAGGGAGUCGGACCUGCCCAGUGACAUUAUUGUUAAACGGCCGCGGUACCCUAACCGUGCAAAGGUAGCAUAAUCAUUUGCCUUUUAAAUGGAGGCUUGUAUGAAUGGUUUGACGAGAGCCCAGCUGUCUCUUUUGGAAUAAUUAGAAAUUAACUUUUAGGUGAAGAGGCCUAAAUUGAGUUGAGUGACAAGAAGACCCUGUUGAGCUUUAGUAUUGCUAGGUUUGUUUUAUUUAUGGUUCAUUUAUGAAAUUUUCUGAUCUAGUGAUUCUUUAGUUGGGGCGACUGAGGAACAUAAAAAGCUUCCUUGAUUAUGUUUAAUAGGUAUUUAUUUAUGUUAGAGUGAUCCAGUUUUAUUGAUUAAGAGAAAAAGUUACCACAGGGAUAACAGCGUAAUCUUUCUGGAGAGAUCAAAUCGAAAGGAGGGUUUGCGACCUCGAUGUUGGACUAAGGUAUCCUAAAGGUGUAGCAG